UACAGAGGUCUCAAGCGUUGUUCGGAUUCAUUGGGCGUAAAGAGCGCGUAGGCGGUCCGGUAAGUCGGUUGUGAAAGUCGGGGGCUCAACCCUCGGAUGCCGAUCGAUACUGUCGGGCUAGAGUCCGGAAGAGGCGAGUGGAAUUCCUGGUGUAGCGGUGAAAUGCGCAGAUAUCAGGAGGAACACCUAUGGCGAAGGCAGCUCGCUGGGACGUGACUGACGCUGAGACGCGAAAGCGUGGGGAGCAAACAGG
rnacentral:rRNA from 1 species